rnacentral:sRNA from 1 species
GCCGGGCACUGUGUUGCAUGCCUGUAAUCCCAGCAGCUUGGGAGGCUGAGGCAGGAGGAUCAUGAGUUUAAAGCCAGCCUCAGCAAAAGUGAAGUACUGAGCAACUCAGUGACACCCUGUCUCUA